ensembl:lncRNA LINC02985 long intergenic non-protein coding RNA 2985
GCCUAACUUCCUCUCCCACCUCCCUUCAUCAAGGAGCAGUCUCAUGCCCAGGAGCUAGAAAUGUAGGCUUUGCCGGCAUUGGUUGAGCUGUGCUGGGCCCUAGGCAGCGAUGACUCAAACUUGACCCUUAACCCCCAGGCAGGUGCUUGCUGCAGAGGCAUCGGGGGUCUCUGGCCAGAGGUGACAUCUGAAGCAAUCGGGAUCCUGUUUGGUUUUGCCACAUCCGACCUGCCGCCCAGCUGGGGCAAGACAGCCACGCGCGGCGGAUGCACCGGCCCUGAACUCUUUCUCGAGUAGUCCCCAGAGAUUUCAGGAAGAGAGAGAAGAGGUAAAGAGACCAGAAACAAAGUCUUCUGCAAGCAAAGAACUGCAACAGGCCCCAGCUGUUAGGUUUGAGGGGCGUAUGGGGCAGGCGACUGAACUGCAGAGUUGGAGCCAGAGGUACCAUUGCUGACCCCUGAGCCCAGGAGCCUUGAGAAUACUGACAGUGUUAAUAAUAACUGCAAUCAUCCAACAUAUGAUGCUAGAAUAACUGGACAUCUGUGUGCAAAAAUAUUAAACCUAUACCUUGCACCUUAUCACAAAA